GGAAGACUGUAGCUCAGUGGUAGUGCAUCUGUCUUGCAUGCAGAAGGUUCCAGGUUCAAUCCCCAGGGUCUCCCG